AUUCAUACUUUGUAGGGGAAAUGCCAUGUUGUCAAAAUGGUUUUUCCAGGGAGAGGCUCAUCCAUUGCACUUUGGGUGUGCUGUUGACCCGUGAUUUCCCCAAAUGUGGGGAAUUCAAUUAUAUAAUUUGUGUUAAUGGGGGUGUUAUGUUUGUGAUUUCUGU
rnacentral:snRNA from 1 species